rnacentral:rRNA from 1 species
GACGUAGGGCGCGAGCGUUGUCCGGAUUUAUUGGGCGUAAAGAGCUCGUAGGCGGCUUGUCGCGUCGGCUGUGAAAUCCCGUGGCUCAACUGUGGGCGGGCAGCUGAUACGGGCAGGCUAGAGUCCGGAAGAGGAGAGUGGAAUUCCUGGUGUAGCGGUGAAAUGCGCAGAUAUCAGGAAGAACACCCGUGGCGAAGGCGGCUCCCUGGGACGGUACUGACGCUGAGACGCGAAAGCGUGGGGAGCGAACAGG